UACAGAGGUCUCAAGCGUUGUUCGGAUCAUUGGCGUAAGGGUGCGUAGGUGGCAUGGUAAGUCGGAUGUGAAAUCCCGGGGCUCAACCCCGGAACUGCAUUCGAUACUGCUGCGCUAGAGUACUGGAGAGGAGAUUGGAAUUGACGGUGAGCAGUGAAAUGCGUAGAUAUCGUAAGGAAGACCAGUGGCGAAGGCGGAUCUCUGGACAGUUACUGACACUGAGG
rnacentral:rRNA from 1 species